GAGCCAUUAGCUCAGUCGGUAGAGCAUCUGACUUUUAAUCAGAGGGUCGAAGGUUCGAGUCCUUCAUGGCUC
rnacentral:tRNA from 2 species